rnacentral:rRNA from 2 species
AGAGUUUGAUCAUGGCUCAGGACGAACGCUGGCGGCAUGCCUAAUACAUGCAAGUCGAACGAGCUUCCGUUGAAUGACGUGCUUACACUGAUUUCAACAAUGAAGCGAGUGGCGAACUGGUGAGUAACACGUGGGAAAUCUGCCCAGAAGCAGGGGAUAACACUUGGAAACAGGUGCUAAUACCGUAUAACAACAAAAUCCGCAUGGGUUUUGUUUGAAAGGUGGCUUCGGCUAUCACUUCUGGAUGAUCCCGCGGCGUAUUAGUUAGUUGGUGAGGUAAAGGCCCACCAAGACGAUGAUACGUAGCCGACCUGAGAGGGUAAUCGGCCACAUUGGGACUGAGACACGGCCCAAACUCCUACGGGAGGCAGCAGUAGGGAAUCUUCCACAAUGGACGAAAGUCUGAUGGAGCAAUGCCGCGUGAGUGAAGAAGGGUUUCGGCUCGUAAAACUCUGUUGUUAAAGAAGAACACCUUUGAGAGUAACUGUUCAAGGGUUGACGGUAUUUAACCAGAAAGCCACGGCUAACUACGUGCCAGCAGCCGCGGUAAUACGUAGGUGGCAAGCGUUGUCCGGAUUUAUUGGGCGUAAAGCGAGCGCAGGCGGUUUUUUAAGUCUGAUGUGAAAGCCAUCGGCUUAACCGGAGAAGUGCAUCGGAAACUGGGAGACUUGAGUGCAGAAGAGGACAGUGGAACUCCAUGUGUAGCGGUGGAAUGCGUAGAUAUAUGGAAGAACACCAGUGGCGAAGGCGGCUGUCUAGUCUGUAACUGACGCUGAGGCUCGAAAGCAUGGGUAGCGAACAGGAUUAGAUACCCUGGUAGUCCAUGCCGUAAACGAUGAGUGCUAAGUGUUGGAGGGUUUCCGCCCUUCAGUGCUGCAGCUAACGCAUUAAGCACUCCGCCUGGGGAGUACGACCGCAAGGUUGAAACUCAAAGGAAUUGACGGGGGCCCGCACAAG